AACGAACGCUGGCGGCAGGCCUAACACAUGCAAGUCGAGCGGGGGAGCAAUCCCUAGCGGCGGACGGGUUAGUAACGCGUGGGAACAUACCCUUUGGUACGGAAUAGCCUCGGGAAACUGAGAGUAAUACCGUAUGUGCCCUUCGGGGGAAAGAUUUAUCGCCAAAGGAUUGGCCCGCGUUGGAUUAGGUAGUUGGUGGGGUAAUGGCCUACCAAGCCUACGAUCCAUAGCUGGUUUGAGAGGAUGAUCAGCAACACUGGGACUGAGACACGGCCCAGACUCCUACGGGAGGCAGCAGUGGGAAUCUUAGACAAUGGGCGCAAGCCUGAUCUAGCCAUGCCGCGUGAGCGAUGAAGGCCUUAGGGUUGUAAAGCUCUUUCAGAUGGGAAGAUAAUGACGGUACCAUCAGAAGAAGCCCCGGCUAACUCCGUGCCAGCAGCCGCGUAAAGUGACUACUG
rnacentral:rRNA from 1 species